UACGUAGGGCGCAAGCGUUGUCCGGAAUUAUUGGGCGUAAAGAGCUCGUAGGCGGUCUGUCGCGUCGGCUGUGAAAACUCGGGGCUCAACCCCGAGCCUGCAGUCGAUACGGGCAGACUAGAGUGCGGUAGGGGAGACUGGAAUUCCUGGUGUAGCGGUGAAAUGCGCAGAUAUCAGGAGGAACACCGAUGGCGAAGGCAGGUCUCUGGGCCGCAACUGACGCUGAGGAGCGAAAGCAUGGGGAGCGAACAGG
rnacentral:rRNA from 1 species